UGGGGAAUUUUGGACAAUGGGGGCAACCCUGAUCCAGCAAUGCCGCGUGUGUGAAGAAGGCCUUCGGGUUGUAAAGCACUUUUGUCCGGGAAGAAAUCCCCUGCCCUAAUACGGCGGGGGGAUGACGGUACCGGAAGAAUAAGCACCGGCUAACUACGUGCCAGCAGCCGCGGUAAUACGUAGGGUGCGAGCGUUAAUCGAGNNUACUGGGCGUAAAGCGUGCGCAGGCGGUGAUGUAAGACCGAUGUGAAAUCCCCGGGCUCAACCUGGGAACUGCAUUGGUGACUGCAUUGCUCGAGUAUGGCAGAGGGGGGUGGAAUUCCACGUGUAGCAGUGAAAUGCGUAGAGAUGUGGAGGAACACCGAUGGCGAAGGCAGCCCCCUGGGCCAAUACUGACGCUCAUGCACGAAAGCGUGGGGACGCAAACAGGAUUAGCAUACCCCUGGUAGUCCACGCCCUAAAGCGAUGUCAACUGGUUGUCGGGCCUUCAUUGGCUUGGUAACGUAGCUAACGCGUGAAGUUGACCGCCUGGGGAGUACGGUCGCAAGAUUAAAAGCUCAAAUGAAUUGAC
rnacentral:rRNA from 1 species